rnacentral:rRNA from 1 species
AUCCAAUGCCCCGAAAACCCAAGGUUUCCUCCGCAAGGUUCGUCCACGGAGGGUGAGUCAGGGCCUAAGAUCAGGCCGAAAGGCGUAGUCGAUGGACAACAGGUCAAUAUUCCUGUACUACCCCUUGUUGGUACGGAGGGACGGAGGAGGCUAGGUUAGCCGAAAGAUGGUUAUAGGUUUAAGGACACAAGGUGACCCUGCUUUUUCAGGGUAAGAAGGGGUAGAGAAAAUGCCUCGAGCCGAGGUCCGAGUACCAAGCGCUGCAGCGCUGAAGUAUGAGCCCCGUGGACUAGCGAUUGCUUCUCCACG